rnacentral:rRNA from 1 species
UACGUAGGUGGCAAGCGUUGUCCGGAAUUACUGGGCGUAAAGGGUGCGUAGGCGGUUUAUUAAGUGGGAUGUGAAAUGCCGGGGCUCAACCUCGGAAUGGCAUUCCAAACUGGUAAUCUGGAGUGCAGGAGAGGAAAGCGGAAUUCCUAGUGUAGCGGUGAAAUGCGUAGAUAUUAGGAAGAACACCAGUGGCGAAGGCGGCUUUCUGGACUGUAACUGACGCUGAGGCACGAAAGCGUGGGGAGCAAACAGG